rnacentral:rRNA from 1 species
GUACACGCUGUGACUAGCAUAUCAAUAAGCGGAGGAAAAGAAACUAACAAGGAUUCCCCUAGCUAACGGCGAGUGAAGCGGGAAGAGCUCAAAUUUGAAAUCUUAAAGGGUUUCCCUUUACGAAUUGUAGUUUAAAGAAGUGUUUUCUGUUGAGGUUUUGGUAAAAGUUCUUUGGAAUAGGACAUCAUAGAGGGUGAGAAUCCCGUAUUUGACCUUUACUUUCAACUUUGUGAUACACUUUCAAAGAGUCGGAUUGUUUGGGAAUGCAGUCCAAAAUGGGUGGUAAAUUUCAUCUAAAGCUAAAUAUUGGCGAGAGACCGAUAGCGAACAAGUACCGUGAGGGAAAGAUGAAAAGAACUUUGAAAAGAGAGUUAAACAGUACGUGAAAUUGUCAAAAGGGAAGCGUUUGACACCAGUGUUGUUUUUCUGAAAAUCAAUUAAAGAACUGUUUAUGCUAAGUUGUUUAGACUUUAUCAGCUAUCUGUUUAGUUUUGAGCUUUUCUUUAAUGCACUUUUCAGGUUAACAAGUCAACAUCAAUUUCUUUUGCUGUAAAAAAGCUUGAGGAAGGUGGCUUGAGAUUCGUCUUAAGUGUUUAUAGCCUCUUGCCUAUGCAGUCGGAGAGAUUGAGGUCUGCAGCGUAGAUUCCUUCGGGGCUAAAUGCAUUUGUGCUAAGUUAUAGCAUUUUAUAGACAACUUGUUGACUAUGAUUUGUCUUGUAGCUUACUCGCUUAUGUUAUUUUACCUACGCUUAGGAUGUUGACUGAUAUGUAGUCGUA